AUUGAACGCUGGCGGUAUGCUUAACACAUGCAAGUCGAACGGUAACAGGCCUUCGGGCGCUGACGAGUGGCGGACGGGUGAGUAACGCGUAGGAAUCUGCCUCAUAGUGGGGGACAACGUGGGGAAACUCACGCUAAUACCGCAUACGCCCUACGGGGGAAAGCGGGGGAUCUUCGGACCUCGCGCUAUGAGAUGAGCCUGCGUUAGAUUAGCUAGUUGGUAGGGUAAAGGCCUACCAAGGCGACGAUCUAUAGCUGGUCUGAGAGGACGAUCAGCCACACUGGGACUGAGACACGGCCCAGACUCCUACGGGAGGCAGCAGUGGGGAAUAUUGGACAAUGGGAGCAAGCCUGAUCCAGCAAUACCGCGUGUGUGAAGAAGGCCCUAGGGUUGUAAAGCACUUUCAAUUGGGAGGAAAACCUGCCGGUCAAUACCCGGCAGCUUGACAUUACCUUUAGAAGAAGCACCGGCUAACUCCGUGCCAGCCGCCGCCGUAAUAC
rnacentral:rRNA from 1 species